GAUGAACGCUGGCGGCGUGCUUAACACAUGCAAGUCGAACGGUGAAAGAGGAGCUUGCUCCUCUGGAUCAGUGGCGAACGGGUGAGUAACACGUGAGCAAUCUGCCCCGAACUCUGGGAUAAGCGCUGGAAACGGCGUCUAAUACCGGAUACGACGCGGGAGGGCAUCCUCUCCGCGUGGAAAGAAUUUCGGUUCGGGAUGAGCUCGCGGCCUAUCAGCUUGUUGGUGAGGUAACGGCGCACCAAGGCGACGACGGGUAGCCGGCCUGAGAGGGUGACGGGCCACGCUGGGACUGAGAAACGGCCCAGACUCCGACGGGAGGCAGCAGUGGGGAAUAUUGCACAAUGGGCGAAAGCCUGAUGCAGCAACGCCGCGUGAGGGACGACGGCCUUCGGGUUGUAAACCUCUUUUAGCAGGGAAGAAGCGAAAGUGACGGUACCUGCAGAAAAAGCACCGGCUAACUACGUGCCAGCCGCCGCCGUAA
rnacentral:rRNA from 1 species